AAUAAUGUCAAACUCGUCCCCGACUUAUGCUUCUUCCUCUAGCUCUUCUUCAUCAUCAUCAUCAUCAUGUUCAUCUUCAUCAUCCUUCAUCUUCUUUUUCUUAUUAAACCCAGAUUUUCUUAUUCUUCAUCCCUACAUCUUCAUUUUCUUCAUAAACCCCAGAUUUUCUUUAUUAUCAUCUUCAUAAAAAAUCUCACAUCGAAAACUCCUAUCAAAAAGAAGAGAAAUCCAUAAAUCCACAAAAAUCAGCCACCCACAACCCAUACUAAUCAUCAGAUACAGAAUACAUAAAACGCAACAAAUGACAUUUUAAUCAAACACAUUGCUAGACACAAAAGAAAUAAAUUGAUAUAUUGCAUAUACCCCCAUAUACCCAGCACCCAAAAAUGUGCAGCAAACAAAUUGAUUGAAAGAAGGCAAAAACCAUUGCUUACACAAUUACAGCAACAGACGCAAGAAAGCUUCUUCCAGCAAGUACUGUAACACACUAUAGUCAAGCUCAAAG
rnacentral:lncRNA from 1 species